AUUGAACGCUGGCGGUAGGCCUAACACAUGCAAGUCGAACGGCAGCACAGUAAGCGCUUGCUCUUACGGGUGGCGAGUGGCGGACGGGUGAGGAAUACAUCGGAAGCUACUUUUUCGUGGGGGAUAACGUAGGGAAACUUACGCUAAUCCCGCAUACGACCUACGGGUGAAAGCAGGGGAUCUUCGGCCCUUGCGCGAUUGAAUGAGCCGAUGGCGGAUUAGCUAGUUGGCGGGGUAAAGGCCCACCAAGGCGACGAUCCGUAGCUGGUCUGAGAGGAUGAUCAGCCACACUGGAACUGAGACACGGUCCAGACUCCUACGGGAGGCAGCAGUGGGGAAUAUUGGACAAUGGGCGCAAGCCUGAUCCAGCCAUACCGCGUGUGUGAAGAAGGCCUUCGGGUUGUAAAGCCCUUUUGUUGGGAAAGAAAAGCAGCAGGUUAAUACCCCGCUGUUCUGACGGUACCCAAAGAAUAAGCACCGGCUAACUUCGUG
rnacentral:rRNA from 1 species